rnacentral:pre_miRNA from 1 species
AGCAAAUAUCUCCAAGCUUGUUGCAUUUCGUCUUAUUUAAAUUUUUUUAUGGUUAGUAUUUUGGUUGUUAUUAGAUGAUAAAAUAUAAAUAAUACUUUAUGUGUGACUAUUUUUUAAUAUUUUUUUAAAAAAUAAAUAAGACGAAACAUGGAAACUUAUGACUGCGCUUAAA